UAUAUAUAUAUAUAUAUUUAUAUUUAUAUAUAUAUUUUUUUUUAGAGAGAGAAAAAAAGUUAUUACAUUUUUAAUUACAUUAAUAAGAGCCAUGAAUUUACAAUGAAGGAUGUAAUAUGUUCUUAUUUAAAUGAAAACAGAACUAUUGAAUUAGUGGUUCAUGUCUUCAUUCUCUCCGGUACAUUUUACAGACACAAAAACAAGUGUUUGAAAUCUGUCCCCCAAAUGCAAUAUAUUUUUUUUACUUGAAAUCAAAUAUUUAAUCAAAUCUCUAGAAAUCGUCAAUAACAAAAAAUAUUAUUCUUACAACUCUAUCAUAGGUUUAACCCCUGACCUUCUGACAACUCUAUCAUAGGUUUAACCCCUGACCUUCUGACAACUAUCAUAGGUUAUUAUUAUCUGUAACCGGGGGAGACUAGAUACAAAACUUGAGAACAGACAAACAGAAAACACUGGUAUGACCUGACAAGACAAACUGGCAACAGACAAACAGAAAACACAGGUAUAAAUACACAGGGGAUAAUGGAGAAAACACAGGUAUAAAUACACAGGAGAUCAUGGAGAAAACAGAAAACACAGGUAUAAAUACACAGGGGAUAAUGGAGAAAACACAGGUAUAAAUACACAGGAGAUCAUGGAGAAAACAGAAAACACAGGUAUAAAUACACAGGGGAUAAUGGAUAGUGGAGAAAAGUGGGAGACACCAGGAGGGGGAGGUGGAGACAAGCACAAGACAGGUGAAACAGAUCAGCGAGUGACAAAAUACAGAGGUGAACUAUCAAUUCCCCGGAUUCCUACCGCAAACUCUGAACCCUUUUCAUCUGGAUCAUGGCAGCUACCUAACCGCAACCCGGGUUGACUACUGCUGGCUAACGUUUCCGUCCCGGAGAAAGCACCAACUAGCCUGGGGCUAGCCCAUGCUAGACCCAUCUCCUGGCUAGGGCUCCUGGGCUACUCCUGGCUAACGUUUCCGUCCCGGAGAAAGCACCAACUAGCCUGGGGCUAGCCCAUGCUAGGCCCAUCUCCUGGCUAGGGCUCCUGGGCUACUCCUGGCUAACGUUUCCGUCCCGGAGAAAGCACCAACUAGCCUGGGGCUAGCCCAUGCUAGACCCAUCUCCUGGCUAGGGCUCCUGGGCUACUCCUGGCUAACGUUUCCGUCCCGGAGAAAGCACCAACUAGCCUGGGGCUAGCCCAUGCUAGACCCAUCUCCCGGCUAGGGCUCCUGGGCUACUCCUGGCUAACGUUUCCGUCCCGGAGAAAGCACCAACUAGCCUGGAGCUAGCCCAUGCUAGGCCCAUCUCCUGGCUACGGCUCCUGGGCUACUCCUGGCUAACGUUUCCGUCCCGGAGAAAGCACCAACUAGCCUGGAGCUAGCCCAUGCUAGACCCAUCUCCUGGCUAGGGCUCCUGGGCUACUCCUGGCUAACGUUUCCGUCCCGGAGAAAGCACCAACUAGCCUGGGGCUAGCCCAUGCUAGACCCAUCUCCUGGCUAGGGCUCCUGGGCUACUCCUGGCUAACGUUUCCGUCCCGGAGAAAGCACCAACUAGCCUGGAGCUAGCCCAUGCUAGGCCCAUCUCCUGGCUAGGGCUCCUGGGCUACUCCUGGCUAACGUUUCCGUCCCGGAGAAAGCACCAACUAGCCUGGAGCUAGCCCAUGCUAGUAGACCCAUCUCCUGGCUAGGGCUCCUGGGCUACUCCUGGCUAACGUUUCCGUCCCGGAGAAAGCACCAACUAGCCUGGGGCUAGCCCAUGCUAGACCCAUCUCCUGGCUAGGGCUCCUGGGCUACUCCUGGCUAACGUUUCCAUCCCGGAGAAAGCACCAACUAGCCUGGGGCUAGCCCAUGCUAGACCCAUCUCCUGGCUAGGGCUCCUGGGCUACUCCUGGCUAACGUUUCCGUCCCGGAGAAAGCACCAACUAGCCUGGGGCUAGCCCAUGCUAGACCCAUCUCCCGGCUAGGGCUCCUGGGCUACUCCUGAAGCCCCCUGCUCGGCUACAAUAUCCGGACCCCUUCUACUGGCGGUACGGGGCACGGAACCCCGCUGAUCCUUCACGACUGGAAUACCGACAUAAUCUGCCCUCAGGCCCCCUCAGGCCCAUUCUGCCUUGUCCAUUACUGUCCUGGUUAGUGAUUACUGUCUUAUUUCACUGUAGAGCCUCUAGCCCUGCUCAAUAUGCCUUAACCAACCAUGUUGUUCCACCUCCUACAUAUGCGAUGACAUCACCUGGUUUAAAUGUCUCUAGAGGCUAUAUCUCU
rnacentral:lncRNA from 1 species